rnacentral:lncRNA from 1 species
AUCAGCCCAUUUCUCCCAUAGUGAUCAGCCAAACCAGAAGAGAAGAGAAACCAAGGAAGAACAAACCCUAGGUGGGAAAAAUCUAAGAGAAAGUGUUGGAAUUCAAGGAUUUGAUCAUGCAAAGGUAAAAUUUCUUUGAUUUUGCUAGUGAUUUACCUUACCCAUGCAUUUUCCUUUAAUUUCCAUGGUUAAAUUAUAUGUUUUCAUAAUGAAUUCAUGGCUGGUUGGAAUGGGUAUGGAGAGAGAAUGAUGUUAGAUUGAUUUGAUUCUAAGUUAUGUUAGUGUUUUUAGUUAGUUAAGCAUGUUUAGAAACAAAACAACAAGAAAAUAAUCCAUUUUCUCCAUGAACCUUCAAUGGCCGAACCCUAUGUGAAGUGUAGAAGUAAUGAAUUGAUUUUGUGAUCAAGUGAAUUGGUUGAAAAAUUGACGAAAUGAUUAUGGUGAGAAAAUUUUUAGUGAUAAUGCACCACAAUCGUCGAAAUUUUCAAGAAGAAUUGUGAGGGUUGUUGGGCUGAAUCUUAGAUUAUUGGAAUUGUAUUUAGUUAAUUGAAAUAUUAGAAAUGAAAUGGAGCAAUUUGGAGCCAAAUCGGACACAAUUAUCAUUUAAUCGGGUAAUAGGCCGAAUUAGGUCAGCACCUCAUUCAAGCAGUAGUUGGAUAAGUUGCAUAUCAUAUCAUGCAUAUACACUGAGUCUGAAUUGAUUUUAUAAUGAUCAAGCAUUGAUGUGGUGAAUUAUGUACUGUACAUUGUAGAUAGGUGGUGAGUAAAUUACACUGGUAAAAGUACAGAGAUUGUGCUUAGAGACUGGGAUUAGGAGUACAUUGACUCCUAGAACUGUGAGUAAACUUAUUAUCGUCUUAAUUAUCUAGAGUAGUUUUAUACAACUAUGUGAUUUUGUGAAAAAUGGGUUUAAAUGGUAAAUUGCUAUGUUUUAGGAUAAAUUGUGAUUUUAUAAAAUGAUUUUAUAAAUUUUCUAGAAAAUUGAAUACUGGUUUUGAAAAUAGAGUAAUUAGAGACUGCCUGCUUGUGUUGUAAAUUUAUGGUUUUAAAUUGAAUGGCUUAUGACAAUAUGAGCAUGAAUGGCUAAACGGAUUUUGGUGGUAGAAUUAUUUGUGCUGUGUAUUCAGCCUUGAGAGGCUAGGUUGCGAUAAAUUGCAAUGUCAUGCAGAAAAAGAUUUUAUAAAUCAAGUGGUAGAUAAAAUAAUUCAUAGUCACUGUAGUGGUGGUGUCACGACCCGACACUCCCUUCGAGCCCGUGACAACCGUCACGAAGUCUCUAUAGACAUUCAUUACCCGAAAUGUCAAUCGAAACCUCGCAAGGCUCUUGCAUCAGUUUUCCACUUCCCCUGUGAGCAAUAGUUACUAAAUAUCGAGUUUUAAGAGAAUAUAAACUACUUUAGAUAAAAAAACAAUCAAAAUAAAAUUUUCGCCACACAUGGGUAUUUUGGUCAUUUUUACUCAAAAAUUUCGAAACUUGAUGAAAAUACAACAUAUGGUAGACAGAUAUCCAUUUCCAAUCAAAAUAAAUUUUUGUAAUCUAAAUCAUCCAUUUGGAGUGAAAAGUUGGCUAAUUAGACUAAAUAAAAAUAUUCGAUAAUAUAUUCUAUUUUCUUAUAAAAUAAUUUUUAUAGAACUAUGCAUAAACAAUUUUUGUAGCAUAAGAACAAAAUAAAUUCAUACACAUAGUGAUACAGUAAACCAGGUAUUCAAAAUUAUCCUACAGUGGCAUAUGGACCCCGAGAUAACCAAAAGUGUGCAAGAAUGUAGACCUACGAUUUUCAAGAAAGUAAGUCCAAAAGAAAUCCUUGAUGAAAUCAACUGCCUACAGAUUAUCCUGAAUCUGAAAUGGUUAAAAAAAGAAAGGGUGAGUUUUCAUAAACUCAGUGAGUAAACAAAGUCCGUCAUUAACUUCUAAAACCGAGUAAAUGGAGACAAUUAACUUUUCAUGAUAUCAUAAUCCACAACAUUUUGUACUUGUUUCAAAUCAUAUAAAACAACACAUUUCAUUAUAAUACACAUCACGACUUAUGAUUUUCUUAAAAACUUGGCUCAUGCCAAAAAUCAUACUCGAUGAUACCUUGGCCGAGGCAUUCAAUCGAGUCUGCCAAGGUUAUUAAGUUAACAACUACUCAUAAAAACAUAGUUUAGCCAUCCCUUGGCGUUGGCAGAGUUCAUCCUCAAAUGGUGGUUCGGUGUGAAGUGAACUCUAUUGUACCUUAGGAGAUAUCCUUCGCGCCUCUCAUACUAAGGUAAAUAUAACAGGGUUUACCGUGCCCCUCUAAUAGGCUGGUCCACGGAAACUCGCCUACUGCAGUGGCUAAUUAAAUAACCCACCAAUCAAUAAAAUUUUGACAGCAUAACGUGGCUAACAUAAUACUACCCAGCCUAUCAAAGGAAAACAAACAGUUUAUAUAUUUCACAACCCAAAAACCCAGCCACAUAUGUCAUCACGCAUCAGUUCAUAAAUCAUCAAUUCCAAACGUAGGUACGUAAACUUAAAUAUAUAGGCAACAUCAAAGGUUGGUCUCCACAUACUCACAUUUUCAAAAAUAUUAUUGAAUUGUAAAAUAAGUCAUAAACCUUAUUCCUUAAAUCGAUUAUUAGUCAUAAAAUUCAUUUAGGUUCAAUAUUCUUAAGAUCAUAAAAACGAUUGUAAAAAUACUCUAGAUAGAUAAGAUGAACAAUGGUUACUCACUUUGAUGGGAAUUUACAACACUCCUAGUCUUGAUCCUCGGGUACAAUACCUUUGCCCUUAUCCGAGGGCUCACCACCUAUACAUAAUGUGUAACAGGAAAUUUAAUAUACUUAUGCUAAAUCGUCACAAAACUAUUCUAUGUUCUAUAUGAAUGCAUGCAAUGAAAUGGGAGGUGUUCGGUCUAUCGCGCACUAUACACUAUUUAAUCGGUCUAAAUGUCAAAUUCGAUUCCAAUUAAUUUAUUGCACUUUCAGUACUCCCCAAAACUCCACACACUUCACUAAAAAUCUAUUCUAAGUGCAAUUACCAAAAUAUCCCUCAUUAUGGUGCAAAUUGCUAAUUAACGGGAGUAAAAUUUUUCGGUACCUGUUUUCGAUUUCUGGUAUUCCUAAGCACCAAAUACAAUCUAAAGGGCAUGCAAAACAACCAAAUUCAUCAUCAAACCUCACCCAUAAAAUUCGGCCAAGAUAGGUUCUAUAAUGGGCAUGUGGAUUUCUUGCUUAAUUUUCAUACUAAAUGUUACUAAACACCUAAAAACACUAAGUUACCUUAAAAUUCAACUAAAUUCAUCACCAACUUUCUCUCUCUAAAUUUGGCCAGCAUAUUGCCCCUCAUGAAAACUUGAAUUUAAUUCAUGAAAAAUUGAAAAGAAUGCAUGGGCAAGAUGAAUUUCAAGCUUAAGAUUAAAAAUCUUACCUUUAAUCACCAAUUUCUUAAAAAUUCAACAAAUUUUCCUUAAUUUUUCCUCCCUAGGGUUUUUCUUUUCUUUUUUUCUCUUUUCUGCAGGUGCUGGUCGGCCCUCAAAUUCUAAGUGGAAGAGUAUGGGCUGGUUUUUAAAUGGCAAUAUAAUAAUAUUUAAUUUUUGACACAUGUCACCUUUUUAUUGAUCCACUUGUUUUAACUUAAUUUUUAAACCUUUUCUCACCACCACAAAUACUCUAAUACUUAUCCAUAGCAUAAAAUAAUAAUGGGUAAAAUUCUGGAGCUUGACAAAUAUCAUGGUGGUGUAAAAUCGUAAAAUUCUAAUUUUGCCCUUGUGGACUCGAAAAAUGACAUUUUUGCCCUUAUGUUCGAAAUUGAAAUUUUUCACUUCUCAAUCUCAAAUUAUACUCCAAUUGGUCAAACUUGAUCAAAAUUUUCAUCCAACUUUCCAAAUUUACCCUCGGGUGCAAAAUUACCAUUUUGCCCCUAUGGUAUGAAAAUUCCUAAUUAACUCCAAUUUAAUCCUCGAACUCCAAAUCACCAUAUUAAGUCAUUUUGAGGUUUUAAAAUUUUAAUUUCAUCUUAAAAUUCCUAUUUGAACUAGUUCGAGGAUUUAAAUUAACUUAGUUGCAUAACUAAUUACGAUACCGAUUAUUUAACUAUUUCUAAGGCAUUCUAACAUGUAGAUGUGUCAUUAAGUAUAUGGAUGUUAUGAUGAGGAUAUAAUGGAGUAGGGCUUGACAGGUGGGGAUUUUUGUGGACUACCUAUGAGAGGGGUACGGUAACCCAAUUAUAUAUUUACCUCCGGGGGGAGAUGUUGGAUGAAGCAUCUCCUGAGGUAAAGAUUUGAGUGCACUUCACGUGGACCACUGCGUGAGAGUGAAACUCAGCCAAUGCCAAGGCAUGGCUAAAAUUUUGGAUGUAAAGACAUUUAAUAGCCUUGACGGACCCGGUUGAGAUAACCCUCGAUCAAAGUAUCCCUGAUAACUGAGUAUGAGAAUGAUUUUUUUGGCACGAGCCAAGCUUUUCAGGAAAUCAUAAGCCUAGUUGUUUAUUUGGUUGAAAUGAGUUGAAAGGUAAUGAAAUUACAAUAUGAUGACUUAUUUUAAUUCGUCUCCAUUUACUCGCCUUUAGAUAGUUUAGAUGGUGUCUGUUUACUCACUGAGAUUUUAUAAUCUCACCACCCUCAUUUCCUCACAUUUCAGGCUCGGGGAAUUCCAUAGUUAGCUGACUCUGACAAGGACCUUCAUUUGGACUUGAAUCAGCAAAAGUUGUAGGUUUUCAGCUUCCGAUGCAUUUUCGUUAGAUGUGGGUCCACGUGUCGCUGUAAAAGUAAUUUUAUGCUUUGGUUAUUUUUUUAUAGUAUAUAUGAAUAUAAUUAACUUUUACGCUAUAAGAAUUAUUUACCGAUAGCUUUAUAAAAAUUAUUUUACCAGAA